rnacentral:rRNA from 1 species
UACAGAGGGCCCAAGCGUUGUUCGGAAUCACUGGGCGUAAAGGGUGCGUAGGUGGCCAGGUAAGUUUGGUGUGAAAGCUCGGAGCUUAACUCCGAAAAGUCAUUGAAUACUAUCUGGCUGGAGGGUCGGAGGGGAGACUGGAAUUCUCGGUGUAGCAGUGAAAUGCGUAGAUAUCGAGAGGAACACCAGUGGCGAAGGCGAGUCUCUGGACGACUCCUGACACUGAGGCACGAAAGCUAGGGGAGCAAACAGG